rnacentral:misc_RNA from 1 species
GAUGAAGAACGUAGCGAAAUGCGAUAAGUAAUGUGAAUUGCAGAAUUCAGUGAAUCAUCGAAUCUUUGAACGCACAUUGCGCCCCUUGGCAUUCCGGGGGGCAUGCCUGUCCGAGCGUCAUUGCUGCCCUCAAGCACGGCUUGUGUGUUGGGCCUCCGUCCUCCUCCCGGGGGACGGGCCCGAAAGGCAGCGGCGGCACCGCGUCCGGUCCUCGAGCGUAUGGGGCUUCGUCACCCGCUCUUGUAGGCCCGGCCGGCGCUUGCCGACACAUCAAUCUUUUUUCCAGGUUGACCUCGGAUCAGGUAGGGAUACCCGCUGAACUUAAGCAUAUCAAUAAGCGGAGGA